CUUCCUCUACCUUUCCAGCCGGGCAUAUAGACAGUGGAGGAGCUGCUAAAUGGACACUAUAGGCCCCCAGAAUACUACAGCUCAUUGAAGUGGUCUGGGUGCCGUGUCUCUGUCCCCCUUAGCCCUGCAGUGUAAAACUUGCAGGUGCAGUUUUAGAGACACUAAGACUGUCGCUAGUGGCGCUUCCUGACCUUUUACUGAGUUUGAUUCUGUGAAACAACGCUGGAUAUCCUCACGCUUUGCAUGAGCACAUCCAGCAAACUGAAAAACCCUAUAGGAAAGCAUUGAGUUUUACACCCUUUGUAACAGGUAUUGCAGUUCUGAUGUUAAAGGAGCACUAUAGGAUCAGGAACACAAACAUGUACUCCUGACCCUAUAGGGCUAAAAACACCAUCUAGCCCCCCUGUCCCUCUCAUGCCUCCAUAAAUAUAGAAAUCUUACUUGUUUUCAAGUCUGGAGCUACUUGCAUUGUCACUGUUUGCUUUAGACCAGCCCACUGCCUGCUGACAUCAUCAGAAGUGGUAGCCUGAUCCAAUCACAAUGCUUCCCCAUAGGAUUGGAGACUGACAAAGAGGCAGAUCAGGAGCAGAGCCAGCAUGAUUCAAACACAGCCCUGGCCAAUCAGCAUCUCCUCAUAGAGAUGAAUUGAAUCAAUAAAUCUCUAUGAGGAAAGUUCAGUGUCUGCAUGCAGAGGGAGGAGACACUGAAUGUUUGGAUGCAUUUUAGGAAGCCAUGACCCAGGAAGGAUCUCUAACAGCCAUCUGAGGAGUGGCCAGUGAAGUUAUC